GACGAACGCUGGCGGCGUGCUUAACACAUGCAAGUCGAACGGAAAGGCCCUGCUUUUGUGGGGUGCUCGAGUGGCGAACGGGUGAGUAACACGUGAGUAACCUGCCCUUGACUUUGGGAUAACUUCAGGAAACUGGGGCUAAUACCGGAUAGGAGCUCCUGCUGCAUGGUGGGGGUUGGAAAGUUUCGGCGGUUGGGGAUGGACUCGCGGCUUAUCAGCUUGUUGGUGGGGUAGUGUCUUACCAAGGCCUUGACGGGUAGCCGGCCUGCGAGGGUGACCGGCCACGUUGGGACUGAGAUACGGCCCAGACUCCUACGGGAGGCAGCAGUGGGGAAUAUUGCACAAUGGGCGGAAGCCUGAUGCAGCAACGCCGCGUGCGGGAUGACGGCCUUCGGGUUGUAAACCGCUUUCGCCUGUGACGAAGCGUGAGUGACGGUAAUGGGUAAAGAAGCACCGGCUAACUACGUG
rnacentral:rRNA from 1 species